GAUGAACGCUGGCGGCGUGCCUAAUACACGCAAGUCGAGCGAACAGACGAGGAGCUUGCUCCUCUGACGUUAGCGGCGGACGGGCGAGUAACACGUGGAUAACCUACCUAUAAGACUGGGAUAACUUCGGGAAACCGGAGCUAAUACCGGAUAAUAUAUUGAACCGCAUGGUUCAAUAGUGAAAGACGGUUUUGCUGUCACUUAUAGAUGGAUCCGCGCCGCAUUAGCUAGUUGGUAAGGUAACGGCUUACCAAGGCAACGAUGCGUAGCCGACCUGAGAGGGUGAUCGGCCACACUGGAACUGAGACACGGUCCAGACUCCUACGGGAGGCAGCAGUAGGGAAUCUUCCGCAAUGGGCGAAAGCCUGACGGAGCAACGCCGCGUGAGUGAUGAAGGUCUUCGGAUCGUAAAACUCUGUUAUUAGGGAAGAACAAAUGUGUAAGUAACUAUGCACGUCUUGACGGUACCUAAUCAGAAAGCCACGGCUAACUACGUG
rnacentral:rRNA from 1 species